GAAAAAGAUAGGUAUUAUUCUUUUUCAAUUCUUUUUCUAUCUGUUUCAAAGAACACAUUUGGGAACAAAUAGGAAGUUGCCUUUAACCCAGAGCUGUGGAAACCUUAAGUAUUCCAGCAGCCCCAGUAUGGCUCUUACUAAGGGACCUUGGAAAUGAAAGUUCAGCCAUAGUUGGAGGACUUCAGAUUCCACAUCUUUGACCAGUGUAUGAAAAGAGAGUCACACAGAUGCUUCUAGAAUAUAGUCCUCUCCCCGCAAAAAGGUUGACCUGGUAAAUAAUUGUAUACUUUGAUAGGAUAGAUGUUCUCCAAAAAAAGUCUCUUUAAUUGUCCUAGCUUCAGACACUGAUAUCAACAUCCCAUACCAUUUUCUAUCCAUUUUGCCAUUCUAAAAUUUAACAUCUCAAUUUCCAUUGACUGUGGAGCUUUCUUGACAGAAUAUAGAAGUAGUUUCCCAUUGCUUUACUUCCCAGUCUUUACAAGUCCUAACCAGGCCUGACCCUGCUUAGCUUUUGAGCCCAAGGUCAGCUAUUUGCUAUACUAUUUUCCAUUCUCACUGGAUGGGGUAGCAUAGCACUAAGGCCAGAGCUAGCAGAACUUUCCCCUGAGGGAUGGGUAUUAUUCUCAGAUCAUCUACUAUUUUUGCCCGACUGGCAAUCCAUUGACAAAUGGGAGGGAUGCUUUAGUUUGAAGCAGGAUCCUUACCAUAGCAGGAAUAUAGCCUUACAGAUAAAUAUCAACACAAUCCAUGCCCUCAGACUGGGUUCCAAAUGAAAUAGGUACCCUACAAACAAAUUUGUGCUAGAAUCCACUUUGUUUCACAAUUGCACGUGACUUAAUUCCGGGAGGUGCUUCAAGCAACAGUAAAUGAGCACGGGGCCUAAGACAGAUUGGGACCACUGUACCCGAGUUGCAUGGGAAUUUUAAUUCCUUCCCGGGUAAAUUUCAUAAAAGAAAAGACCUUUCUGCUCUGCACAGAUCUUGGCUGACAUUAGUGAAGAUGACGGAAUUAGACUCUGCCAGAUGAAGAGAGAGGACCUUUGCAAUCCAACACCGGGAAUAUUAUAAGUCAGAAGCCCAAUAGUACCACGUAAAUUAGGGCCUCAAGCUUGAUCUCUCCCCCUGCAAUCAACACCAACUGUAGAGAAAGGAAGAAAACUACUGCAUCACCAAUCUCCUACUUCUAAUCCCUGCAAACAGUACAGAAGAGUUCCAUGGCUGAUGGCAUCAAAGGCCAUUGAGAGAUCAAGGACAAUCAGGACAAUUGUACCACCAACACUGCAACUCUUCCAGAGGUCAUCAGCAAUUGCAAUCACUUCCGUCUCUUAACUUGGUUUGAAACCCAGCUGGAAAUGUCCAGGUAAUGUUUGUCCGCUACAGUCCUCUGAAGCUGCAAUCUAAAAUUUUCUAGCGCCAUCAGCUGGCCAGUGAUGGCUUCUUAAAAAUGGGGCACAUCUCUGCCUCCUUUAUUUUCUUUAUUUAUUUAGCAAUCUAUAUGGCUACCCAUUUCACCAAAGCAAAUUUUUUAGGGGAGGACAACUCUCUUACACAUAAUUGCAUUCAUCACCAUAUAGACCUACCAGUCCUUGUCCAGCCAGAGGGAGAUAGUUUUAAAGGACUGGAACCUGUCCCACUUCCUCCCCUCACAAUCAUAUGAAUUAUAAUUGAAUAGUAGGGUAGGAACACAAUUAGAAGACAUCUACCUCGCUACCAAAUAUUUAUAUCUAGAUCUGAUACAAACCAACAAAGGGAUUCCCAAAGGUUUUUUUUUUUCAAGAGGCAACUGGACUUUCUGGUUUUUCUUUGAAGACAAUUCAAUUUUCAUCCAAGAAGCUUUUGAAGAGCUGAAGAAGCUUCUUGGAUGAGAAGCAUAACAUCUUCAAAGAAAAACAAAGUCCAGUUGCCUGUUGAAAAAAACACUUUUGGGACAACCAUGACCUGGAUGAUUGAGAAUCUCCAUAAACUUUCAACAAAGGAAUUCUUAACCUGAAACCACCAGAGCUAAUUUUGUUUCAAAUGUCCAUCAACUUUUCAGCUCUCAGAUGUCCAGAAACAAUCCAAGAAACUCUUUUAUGUAUUCUAGACUGCAACAAAACCCAUCCUCACGUAACGUAAAAGAGGAUAAAAAAGCUCAGUGUACUAGCAGUGCAGCUUUUUAUUAUAUUGUUAUGAAAAUAAAUGGAAAAAGAAUGCAAGAAAAGAAAACAGAGGAUAGGAAAAACUCACAAUGUUGUAUGUGUACAUAUCCAACAUAUAGUGCUUUUUAAAUAUCCUUAUUGACAUUAAAAAUUAUUAUAUUAAAAAUAUAAAUGUUUUAAUGAUGGCACAGUGGUUAGAAUACAGUAUUGCAGCUAAUUCUACUGACUGCCAGCAGUUCGAUUCUGACCGGCUCAAGGUUGACUCAGCCUUCCAUCCUUCCGAGGUCAGUAAAAUGAGGACCCAGAUUCUUGUGGGCAAUAUGCUGGUUCUCUAAACUGCAUGGAGAGGGCUGUCAAGCACUAUGAAGUGGUAUGUAAGUCUAAGUGCUACUGCUAUUCCUAUUAUUUACUGUGGGCCUCAUAACAUGCCCAGAUCUGUAUUCUCCUGCCACUUUUUGUGACAUCCUGUGCUUACUGGUUACAUGCAUGAGUAUUUGGGAGAGGGUAGUCCUUUGCUAUCUGACAUAUAGUCCUACAAUUUUUGAUGCAAGUGUUAGAGCAAAGUCCACAGUUCAUAGGCCAAACGUAAUUACAGAGAGAGAGAGAGGGAAAGAAUUUGUAAAGUAAUGAUUUGGGACAGAGAAGAGGGUUAGGAUAACAAAUAAUAUAUACAGGUAGUCCUCAAUUUGAGCCCAAAGUCUCUGUUAAGCAACAGAGUUGUCAAGUGAGCUUUGCUUCAUUUUACAAUCUUUGUUAUCACAGUUGUUAAGUGAAUAACUGCCAUUGUUAAGUUAGUAACGUGGUUGUUAAGUGACUGAUAGAUGCAUGCUGGAGGUGAGCUAGGGCAACACUCGCGUGCCUACAGAUAUGGAGCCAUAGGUUCACCAUCAUGGUUCUAGUCUAACCCUGCUCAAGCAGGAAAGCCUAUACCAUUUCAGACAAGUGGUUGAAACAAAUAAAUAAAUAAAAUCUCUUCUUAAAAACCAGUGUUGGGGCAACCACAAUUUCUGGUGGCAAGUCAUUCUACUGAUUAAUUGCUCUCACUGACAGGAAAUUUCUCCUUAGUUAGAGGUUGGUUCUGUCCUUGAUUAGUUUCCAUCGAUUGCUUCUUGUCCUGCCUAUGGGCGCUUUGGAGAAUAGAUUACCCCCUCUUCUUUGUGGCAGCUCCUCAAAUAUUGGAACGUUGCAAUCAUGUCUCCCCUAGUCCUUCUUUUAUUAAAUGAGACAUACCCAAUUCCUGCAACUGUUUUUCAUACGUUUUAGCCUUCAAUCCCCUAAUCAACUUUGUUGUUCUUCUUUGCAGUCUUUCUAGAGCCUCAACAUCUUUCUUGUAUUGUGGUGACAGAAUCUUUUGUCGCUGAUACUUGCUGGACACAAAACUGAAAUGAACUAGAGUAAUAUUCUACAACAUGGGGAGGUAGGCAUUUAACAUUUGGAGCGUAAGUCCAUUUCCGAGUUGUAAACAUUUUACUUCCACAAUAAAUAAAUCAUCUUGGGAUAGGAGAUAUCUAAUUAUCUGAUAUCUGAUCUACCACCCUUCAGCAUGUGCUUGGCCACUGCUUGAUUCAGAAUACUGGUCUAAUCCAAGCCAGGUUCUGCAGGACUCUCUUUAUGCUCUUGUAACCUGAAAAUCACAGUUCUCAGUUCCAUAUCCUGGCUCAAACCCGAAUAGCCCUAUUGACAGGCUCCACUUUCCAUUUUACAAUAAUUUGUCACACUUAGCUUGGUAGUCCAAUGCCUAUGACAGUUAUGUGGGUCAAACUUCAACCCUUACACUGCAAACAUUUGAGACAAAAUUCAAUUUAGAUGCAAGCUAUAAAGGGCUUCCAGAUGGUAUAUCAGGUUCCAUGGCUUGCAGAGGAAAUUAGAAAACCAGAAUUGUUUCUUUCUGCAGAAGAUAACUAAUAUGUUCCACAUAACUCACAUUUGCUAAACUGGCAUAAGCAGCACCUGCUCAGCUUCUGAGAAGCUGCCGAGAGUGGAUUUUACACACAGCACAUUGCAGUAAUGUUAUCUUCCACUUCAGAGAACUACGAAAAAAGGCUGAACACGAAGGAAACUCUUGCAAGCCAUCCCAUCAGCUGCUGAUGGGCAACCACUUUUGAUAUUUUUCUGUUCUAGAAAAUUUCACACACUUCUCCUGUUCUGAGUUUAAUCCAAGAUUCCUUUGUGAAUAUAUUACUUACUUUGCAGCAGUCCUUAUAUUAGUAUUGGAAAAUGGCUUAAUAAU